rnacentral:rRNA from 1 species
UACGUAGGUGGCAAGCGUUGUCCGGAAUUACUGGGCGUAAAGAAUGCGUAGGUGGAUGUAUAAGUCAGAUGUGAAAUACCCGGGCUCAACUUGGGUGCUGCAUUUGAAACUGUAUAUCUGGAGUGCAGGAGAGGUAAGUGGAAUUCCUAGUGUAGCGGUGAAAUGCGUAGAGAUUAGGAAGAACACCAGUGGCGAAGGCGACUUACUGGACUGUAACUGACACUGAGGCAUGAAAGCGUGGGGAGCAAACAGG